AUUGAACGCUGGCGGCAUGCCUUACACAUGCAAGUCGAACGGCAGCACGGGAGCAAUCCUGGUGGCGAGUGGCGAACGGGUGAGUAAAGUAUCGGAACGUGCCCAGUCGUGGGGGAUAACGUAGCGAAAGUUACGCUAAUACCGCAUACGAUCUAUGGAUGAAAGCGGGGGAUCGCAAGACCUCGCGCGAUUGGAGCGGCCGAUAUCAGAUUAGGUAGUUGGUGGGGUAAAGGCUCACCAAGCCGACGAUCUGUAGCUGGUCUGAGAGGACGACCAGCCACACUGGGACUGAGACACGGCCCAGACUCCUACGGGAGGCAGCAGUGGGGAAUUUUGGACAAUGGGCGCAAGCCUGAUCCAGCCAUGCCGCGUGCAGGAUGAAGGCCUUCGGGUUGUAAACUGCUUUUGUACGGAACGAAAAGGUUUGGCCUAAUACGCUGAACUCAUGACGGUACCGUAAGAAUAAGCACCGGCUAACUACGUGCCAGCCGCCGCGGUAA
rnacentral:rRNA from 1 species